rnacentral:rRNA from 1 species
UGGGGAAUUUUGGACAAUGGGCGCAAGCCUGAUCCAGCCAUGCCGCGUGAGUGAAGAAGGCCUUCGGGUUGUAAAGCUCUUUCGGCGGGGACGAAAUGGUUCGUGCCAAUACCACGGACUGAUGACGGUACCUGAAGAAGAAGCACCGGCUAACUACGUGCCAGCAGCCGCGGUAAUACGUAGGGUGCAGGCGUUAAUCGGAAUUACUGGGCGUAAAGCGUGCGCAGGCGGUUUGUUAAGACAGAUGUGAAAUCCCCGGGCUUAACCUGGGAACUGCGUUUGUAACUGGCAGACUGGAGUGUGGCAGAGGGGGGUGGAAUUCCACGUGUAGCAGUGAAAUGCGUAGAGAUGUGGAGGAACACCGAUGGCGAAGGCAGCCCCCUGGGUUAACACUGACGCUCAUGCACGAAAGCGUGGGGAGCAAACAGGAUUAGAUACCCUUGUAGUCCCUGAGCGGGCUGGCAAGGCGCAU